rnacentral:rRNA from 1 species
GUGGAUUAGAUACCCGGGUAGUCCACGCCGUAAACGAUGAUCACUCGCUGUUUGCGAUAUACAGCAAGCGGCUGAGCGAAAGCAUUAAGUGAUCCACCUGGGGAGUACGAUCGCAAGGUUGAAACUCAAAGGAAUUGACGGGGGCCCGCACAAGCGGAGGAACAUGUGGUUUAAUUCGAUGAUACGCGAGGAACCUUACCUGGGCUUAAAUGUAGAUUGCAUGGAUUGGAAACAGUCCUUCCCUUCGGGGCUAUUUACAAGGUGCUGCACGGCCGUCGUCAACU